rnacentral:rRNA from 1 species
UGUAAGUUAAGUGGAAAAGGAUGUGGAGCUGCAUAGACAACUAGGAUGUUGGCUUAGAAGCAGCCACUCAUUCAAAGAGUGCGUAACAGCUCACUAGUCGAGGAGUCGGGCGUGGAUAAUAAUCGGGUAUCAAGUUGUCUACCGAAGCAGUGGGAUCAUUUAUAUGAUCGGUAGGGGAGCAUUCCAGUCGGCGUCGAAGGCGUACCGCGAGGUAUUCUGGAGCGUCUGGAAAAGCAAAUGUAGGUAUAAGUAACGAUAAAGGGGGCGGGAAACCCCCUCGCCGAAAGACUAAGGUUUCCUGAUCAACGCUAAUCGGAUCAGGGUCAGUCGGGUCCUAAGGCUCAGCCGAACGGCGAUGCCGAUGGCAGAAACG